CAGGCUCCAGACUCUGAGCUGUCAGCCUAGAGCCUGGGGCUUGAACUCAGGAGCAUGAGAUCAUGACCUGAGUGGAAGUCAGACACUUAACUGAUUGAGCCACCCAGGUGUCCCUUCAUUUUUAAUGUUAGCAUUAGAAAAAUGGAUGAUACAUAGAAGUCACUCAAUAUUUACUUGGUGAAGGAAAAAAGGCAUAGACGAACCUGAUGGGAAGAAUUGUUUAAAUAUUACUAGAAUUUAAAGCAUAAAUAAAAGAUGUCUCUCAAGCAAGUGACGUCUGUGUGUCUGUUUCAUCGUAACUAACUCCUGUCUCUAACUCAGCAGGCACUUCAACAACAUGGAAUCAGAAAACCAGACAGAAGUAUCAGAAUUCCUCCUCCUGGGUCUCUCGGAGGAUCCAGAACUGCAGCCCCUCCUGUUUGGGCUGUUCCUGUCCAUGUACCUGGUCGGCGUGCUCGGGAACCUGCUCAUUAUCCUGGCCGUCAGCUCUGACUCCCACCUCCACACCCCCAUGUACUUCUUCCUCUCCAACCUGUCCUUUGUCGACAUCUCCUUCGCCUCCACUAUAGUCCCCAAAAUGCUGGUGAACAUCCAAACACAGAGCAAAUCUAUCACUUAUGGAGGCUGUCUCAUUCAAGUAUACUUUUUCAUGGUUUU
rnacentral:lncRNA from 1 species